AGACCUCUGAUCAGAAAAGACUACCCGCUGAGUUUAAGCAUAUCACUAAGCGGAGGAGAAGAAACUAACCAGGAUUUCCCUAGUAACGGCGAGCGAACCGGAAAGAGCCCAGCUGAAAA
rnacentral:rRNA from 1 species